AGUGAACGCUGGCGGUAGGCCUAACACAUGCAAGUCGAACGGCAGCACAGUAAGCGCUUGCUCUUACGGGUGGCGAGUGACGGACGGGUGAGGAAUACAUCGGAAUCUACUUUUUCGGGGGGGAUAACGUAGGGAAACUUACGCUAAUACCGCAUACGACCUACGGGUGAAAGCAGGGGAUCUUCGGACCUUGCGCGAUUGAAUGAGCCGAUGUCGGAUUAGUUAGUUGGCGGGGUAAAGGCCGACCAAGGAGACGAUCCGUAGCUGGUCUGAGAGGAUGAUCAGCCACACUGGAACUGAGCAACGGUCCAAACUCCUACGGGAGGCAGCAGUGGGGAAUAUUGGACAAUGGGCGCAAGCCUGAUCCAGCCAUACCGCGUAGGUGAAGAAGGCCUUCGGGUUGUAAAGCCCUUUUGUUGGGAAAGAAAAGCAGCAGGUUAAUACCCCGCUGUUCUGACGGUACCCAAAGAAUAAGCACCGGCUAACUUCGUG
rnacentral:rRNA from 1 species